AGCGGCGCACGGGUGCGGAACACGUGUGCAACCUACCUUUAUCAGGGGGAUAGCCUUUCGAAAGGAAGAUUAAUACCCCAUAAUAUAUUAGAUGGCAUCAUUUGAUAUUGAAAACUCCGGUGGAUAGAGAUGGGCACGCGCAAGAUUAGAUAGUUGGUGAGGUAACGGCUCACCAAGUCAGUGAUCUUUAGGGGGCCUGAGAGGGUGAUCCCCCACACUGGUACUGAGACACGGACCAGACUCCUACGGGAGGCAGCAGUGAGGAAUAUUGGACAAUGGGUGAGAGCCUGAUCCAGCCAUCCCGCGUGAAGGAUGACGGCCCUAUGGGUUGUAAACUUCUUUUGUAUAGGGAUAAACCUUUCCACGUGUGGAAAGCUGAAGGUACUAUACGAAUAACCACCGGCUAACUCCGUGCCAGCAGCCGCGGUAAUAC
rnacentral:rRNA from 1 species